GGAGUGUCUGGAGCUACAGGAGUAGUUGUUGAAGGAGGAGUAUCUGGAGGUGGGCUAGAAGGUGCUGUAGAAGGAGCAUCUGGAGCUGGACUUGAAGUUGUUGCAGGAGGAGUAUCUGGAGCUACAGGAGAAGUUGCAGUAGAAGGAGUGUCUGGAGCUGGAGUAGAAGCAUCUGUUGGUACCAAAGGCCUACGAACGUGAAACGCAUUAAACCCACUGCUCCUUAUAGAAGAGAAUGAAGUCGACAUACGGUUCAGUAGGGUCAUCCCAGCCCUUCCCAGUGCAUCCUGCACUGGCAGCAUAAUCGCAAACAUCACUAGACGGA